rnacentral:rRNA from 1 species
AGUUGAUCCUGGCUUAGAUGAACGCUGGCGGCAUGCCUUACACAUGCAAGUCGAACGGCAGCGCGGGCAACCUGGCGGCGAGUGGCGAACGGGUGAGUAAUAUAUCGGAACGUACCCUGGAGUGGGGGAUAACGUAGCGAAAGUUACGCUAAUACCGCAUACGAUCUAAGGAUGAAAGUGGGGGAUCGCAAGACCUCAUGCUCCUGGAGCGGCCGAUAUCUGAUUAGCUAGUUGGUGGGGUAAAGGCCUACCAAGGCAUCGAUCAGUAGCUGGUCUGAGAGGACGACCAGCCACACUGGAACUGAGACACGGCCCAGACUCCUACGGGAGGCAGCAGUGGGGAAUAUUGGACAAUGGGGGGAACCCUGAUCCAGCCAUGCCGCGUGUGUGAAGAAAGGCCUUUUGGUUGUAAAGCACUUUAAGCGAGGAGGAGGCUACUUAGAUUAAUACUCUGAGAUAGUGGACGUUACUCGCAGAAUAAGCACCGGCUAACUCUGUGCCAGCCGCGGC